ensembl:lncRNA
ACCUGUCUAUACUCUGGGGUAACCUUACACUCAUGGUUUCUCAGUGUCUUCACGGUUCCAGAAUCUUGUGGCUUUGGUCUUGAUUGGAAUUGAAUCCCUUGCAAUUUUUAAGAAAGAUGAGAGGAGGACCUCCUAACUUGCAGAUUGAAUCCUUUUUCUUCCAGCUCUCAGGACCCGGGCAACUGAAGCUCCAUUCUACUUCUACCAAUUAACAUGGUCUCCUUCCUCAGCCCCCUUUCCCCUCCCCCUUCUUGAAAGAGGAAAAACUAUGACCUCUUGGAAACCAAAAUCCCAACCACAAAUCUCUUCAAGGUUAGCACUAUGCGCUAAAAAAAUGAAUCACAAAAAGAACGUGCCUUCAAAAUAUCAGUCUUAACUGUAAAACACAGAUAAAAACCAUCCUUUUAAUCCAGUUUUCCCAGCUGUCCUUCUGUUGGCAAUGGAGCCUCAAGCUCCAAACGGGGUGGGGUGGGGGAAUAAUUCUCUGGUCUUCAAUGCUUAAAAUGACAAGAGCAGGUAAUAUGUUCGAGAAAGCGAAUCAGAAAAAAAAAAUUGAAUAAAUCCGAAAUGGCACUUGGAAAAAAAUCUUCCAGCUGAUCCGCACGGUAAAAAAAAUAAAUAAAUAAAACCAUACAAUAGUAUGUACACAACAGCACUCCUCCCAGGUUCAGUGCAACCUCGGGAAACAAAAUCUGUGGAUUUUUUAAAAAAAAAAGCUUUUACAUUAAAGAGUUAAAGGUUUUGAAAUUCUGAAAUGAGCCAUUCACACCAAAAAAAAAAAAAAAAAAAAUCACAGAACACCUGAAAUGCAGUGGUUUUUUUACCUUUAAAAUGAGAGCAUUCGCCAAAACCAGAGAGAAGCUCUGAAAAUAUUCCCUGCUUUUUCCUUCAAACUCGCAGGUUUCCCACACCUACCCCAGCCUGGUUCUGAGCCCCAGACCUCGUUCGGCCUUUCUCCGACAGCCAAUUUCCUGAGUUAGUUCUGCCGUUUCUCUCCUCCACAUCCAGGCUCCGAAAGCCUCCCUCGCCUCAGCCUCCAUGAACCGGGGUCCGCUCCCCUCGCUGGGCGCCUGGCCCGCACGGCGGCGCCGCUGCUCUCGGUGGGGACGACGCGCGCGGCUCCGCCAAGCCUGGUGGCGCCGGCUCAGGUGGGCUUCUUCUCGCCGCUCCGGCCCGGCCGCCCGGCCCCGCGCCCUCGGCCUCCGCGGCCCGGACGCAGCGCGGCUGCUGGAGGCGGGUCCGCCGGCGUCGCGGCCGCGCUCCCGCUUCCGGGCCCCUUCCCCCCGUCGCUGGCUGGCGCUGGCGCAGGCUCGGCCGGCCGCCCCCUCCCCGCUGCUCCGCGCCCGCCGCCGUCCGCUCCCUCCCCGCUGGCGGGCGGGGCCGCGCUCCUCCCCGGCUCCGCCCUCGCUCCGCCUCCCGCCUCGGCCGCCCCGCCCCUCCGCCCUCCGCGGCCGAGCGGCCUAGCUGGUCCGGCGCGCGGGUCUCCCCGCGAGGCCCGACCUUUGUUCCCGACCUGCCCGGCCGCGCCGUCCCGGGUGCGUCCCGCGUGCCUGCCCCGCCUCUCUCCUCACAUUUUCCGGUCGCCGUGGCCCCUUUUCGGAGCCGGGAGUGCGGAGGCGGUUUCCUCGCGUGUCUGUGGCUGGGGGCCGCCCCUCGCGCCCCCCGGGUUCGGCGCGCACCUACUCUGCGGCUCGGCCGCCGCGCCUGAGUUCGGCGAAAGCCUUUCCAGGGACUCUGCAGAUGAAUCCUUUCCCUCCGCCUACAUCCUGUGUGGUAGGUGAGCACCAGCCCUUCCGGUCACUACAGUUAAGGAGACUGGCCCAAGAAGGUUUGGGGAGAUUUGCCUAAAAUCCCAUGAACUGACAGACUGAGGCUAGGCUUCAUACCUGAUCAUCUUUAAGCAAUGAGAAGCAGAGGAAAAGGCAGUAGUGGGGAUCGAACUUGGGUCCUUGUGCUUGAGCAGCAGCAGCAGCACCAGAAAAAGAAGAAGAAGAGGAGGAGGAGGAGGAGGAGCAAGAAGAAGAAGAGGAGGAGAAGAAGAAGAGGAAGAAGAAAGAAGAGGAGGAGGAAGCAGAAGAAGCAACUUUUCAAUUGUGGGCAGAAAUCCCAAGACCAAACUGGUUGUUUCUUCUAGAAAGAUGACUCUUUAAGUUAUUAUCAUUCUCCUUCCAGGGUGCUGUUCAGGGACAGGCCUGGCAAAAUAAAACUGCUACUGGAGAG